rnacentral:lncRNA from 1 species
CUCAAUACAUCACGAGGUUUGCAAUCAGACUUAAACUGAAUGCUACAGCAUUCUUCUCCAUGAAAAUCUUCCCAUAUGCAGAUGAAAACUCGUUGCGAUCAAAAUGACGGGUUGAGCAUUUAAUUAGGGCGGCGCUAAUGAUGGCUUCUGCUUCUUUAUUGGCCUUCUUACUCAGCAUUCACUUGACAUCAAGGGCGGAGCUGUGCUGAGGGCUAGGGUGGGCUCUAGCCCAAGGUAAAAUUUUAUCACUAUUUUUUUUUACUAGUUUUAUAUAAAAUAAAUUUUUAAUUUUUAAUUAAGUUAUCAAAAAAUUUUACAAAUUUGCGUAGAGCCUUUAAUAUAAUACUUUAACUUGGAUUAAAAUUUCAUAAUUUUUGAAGAAAUUUAGAAAUUUAAUGAAAAAUCACAAUUUGACUAGUUUUACGUCAUUGAACGUAAUUUUAUAUCCGACUAUUAAAUUGAGCUGAAAUUUUACAAGGGAUAUUAAAAUAUAUUGAAUAAAAUCUGGUUAAAAUUUUAGAAUGAACGGAGCUUGGUAAUGCUAACAAAAAAAAAUUAUCAAAUAAAAGCAAAACAACUCAUUAAGGCUAAAAUAAUUAUUUGCCAUUAAAAAAUAAAACAAAUAAGCUCUUCCUUUUUUUAUAUAUGUUGUUGACUGAAAAGAAACAGAAUAGAAAAGGAAAGAAAAGAAAAGGCAAGAGAGAAAGAGAGAGAAGAAAGGGAAAAUAUAAAAAAAAAUCCAAGGAAAAAAAAUAAAAAAAAAGUAAUAGAAUAACCUUAUAAAUUUACAAAGUAUAACUUAUAAAACUCUAAUCUAAAGAAGAAUCAAGUGAAGGAAGGAUGAAUUGAGAGAGGGAAAGAAAUUAAUUAUUUUAUUUUCCAGUCGACAUGAGAUUAUUAUUUUAUCUUGGUUGAGGGGUUGUUAUAAUAUCGAUUCAGAUUUGAUUAUAAAUUAAUUAUAUUUCAUAAAACAUCGAAUGAUGUAACUUCAAUAGCGAGUUUCUUUUUACUUUUUACUUUAAUUUUAUGUAUUUUUAAUAUUUUAUGUAAUGUAUUUGAAUUAAAACUGUAAUGUUAACUUCAAAAAUUUAUAUAUAUGAAUUAAUAGUUAUUUUUUAAAAAAUUAUAUAUUUAUUUAAUAGCCCUGGACAUGAAAAAUUCCUGGCUCCGCCCUUGCUUGACAUGAUAUUCCUGGGAAGAUAAAGAGUUGGCAGAGCCUUCUAAAAUUCCUGGAAGGGGGUGAAAGAGCAGACACUCUGUCAAGCAGAGUUAACUGACGCGUUGAGUUCUUCCCUGAGCAAGUGGCAAGGGGGUUUUCCCCUUUGCAGCACUAGCUCAUACAUACAAGUUGAAUGGCUAUCUUGAGGCUUUCAUCAGCAUUGCCGCUGGCAAGCCCUCACAGCGAUUGACCAUUAGCAGUAUUCCAUAUCAGAUGUAAUCCUACAUUAAACGACUUCAUCCAAAGCUUAGCAAAUGAAAAGACGGUGUUUUUAUCUUCGUGCAAAUUGAUCCGCGAAGAGCUGUUGAAUCACAUGAAUUGUUUUUUGUUGGGCCCACA